GUACACUCCUGCGGGAGGCAGCAGUGGGGAAUUUUGGACAAUGGGCGAAAGCCUGAUCCAGCCAUGCCGCGUGCAGGAUGAAGGCCUUCGGGUUGUAAACUGCUUUUGUACGGAACGAAACGGCCUUUUCUAAUAAAGAGGGCUAAUGACGGUACCGUAAGAAUAAGCACCGGCUAACUACGUGCCAGCAGCCGCGGUAAUACGUAGGGUGCAAGCGUUAAUCGGAAUUACUGGGCGUAAAGCGUGCGCAGGCGGUUAUGUAAGACAGUUGUGAAAUCCCCGGGCUCAACCUGGGAACUGCAUCUGUGACUGCAUAGCUAGAGUACGGUAGAGGGGGAUGGAAUUCCGCGUGUAGCAGUGAAAUGCGUAGAUAUGCGGAGGAACACCGAUGGCGAAGGCAAUCCCCUGGACCUGUACUGACGCUCAUGCACGAAAGCGUGGGGAGCAAACAGGAUUAGAUACCCUGGUAGUCCCAU
rnacentral:rRNA from 1 species